GUGGGGAAUCUUCCGCAAUGGACGAAAGUCUGACGGAGCAACGCCGCGUGAGUGAAGAAGGUCUUCGGAUCGUAAAGCUCUGUUGUACGGGACGAAUGUUGGAGGCGUGAAUAAUGCCAUCAAAUGACGGUACUGUACGAGGAAGCCACGGCUAACUACGUGCCAGCAGCCGCGGUAAUACGUAGGUGGCGAGCGUUGUCCGGAAUUAUUGGGCGUAAAGGGAGCGCAGGUGGGAAGGUAAGUCUGUUUUAACAGCGUCGGGCUCAACCCGAUGAGGGAACAGAAACUAUUUUUCUUGAGUGCAGGAGAGGAAAGCGGAAUUCCUAGUGUAGCGGUGAAAUGCGUAGAUAUUAGGAGGAACACCAGUGGCGAAGGCGGCUUUCUGGACUGUAACUGACACUGAGGCUCGAAAGCCAGGGGAGCGAACGGGAUUAGAUACCCUAGUAGUCC
rnacentral:rRNA from 1 species